GACGAACGCUGGCGGCGUGCUUAAUACAUGCAAGUCGAACGGAAAGGCCCUGCUUGCAGGGUGCUCGAGUGGCGAACGGGUGAGUAACACGUGGGUGAUCUGCCCCUUACUUUGGGAUAAGCCUGGGAAACUGGGUCUAAUACUGGAUAGGACCAUGCUGUAGGUGGUGUGGUGGAAAGAUUUUUUCGGUAAGGGAUGAGCUCGCGGCCUAUCAGCUUGUUGGUGGGGUAAUGGCCUACCAAGGCGUCGACGGGUAGCCGGCCUGAGAGGGUGGACGGCCACAUUGGGACUGAGAUACGGCCCAGACUCCUACGGGAGGCAGCAGUGGGGAAUAUUGCACAAUGGGCGCAAGCCUGAUGCAGCGACGCCGCGUGGGGGAUGACGGCCUUCGGGUUGUAAACUCCUUUCAGCCAUGACGAAGCCUCUUUUGGGGUGACGGUAGUGGUAGAAGAAGCACCGGCUAACUACGUG
rnacentral:rRNA from 1 species